CCCCCCCCCCCCCCCCCCCCCCCCCCCCCCCCCCCCCCCCCCCCCCCCCCCCUGCGCUGCCUGUGCCGCCCAUCCCCGCGGGGGCUGCAGCCAUGCAGCGCAGCCUCAGGGACACGGUGCCUGAGAAACAGAAUGAGAGCAAACGCUUCCAAGAGGAACAUGGAUGUGACCAGGAGCUGUCCCAAGUGACAGAAGGCUUUGAGCUCUUUCAAGAGGACAGUGAGUGUGAACAGGAGCUGUCCCUUGUGGAAGAUGAGAGCGAGCUCUCUCCAGAUGACAGCACAGCUGAGGAGCUGCUGUUCAAAGUAGAAGAGUCCAUUGAGCUCUUGCCAGGGGACAGCGACAUUGAGCCAGAGCUGUCCGAGGUGGAAGAGGCCAGAGAGGUCACUUCAGGGGACAGCACAAAUGAGGAGGAGCUGUCCCCUGUGGAAGAGGCCACUGAAAUCGGUCCAGGGGACACCACAAGUGACCAGCAGCUGACCCCCGUGGAGGAUUACAGCGAGCUCUUUCCAGUGGACAGCACAAGGGAGAAGGAGCUGCCCGAUGUUGAAGAGGACAUCAAAGUCACUCCAGGGGGCAGCACAAGUGACGAGAAUCUGUCCCCAGUGGAAGAAACCAUCAAUGCCAUUUCAGGGGACAACCUGAGUGAAGAGGAGCAGUCCCCAGUGGAAGAGGCCAUCGAGGAUGGUCCGGAAAACAUCACAAGUGACCAGCAUCUGUCCAAAUUUGGAGAGGCCAUCGAGCUCUUCCCAGGGGACAGCUUCCCGGGUGAAGAAAAGCAUGAAGAAGAGGCGUCUCAAGGGGAGAAUGACUGUGCCAAAGAGCUGCCCCAAUGCGAUUACAACGAGCAUGAGAAGCUUUCCCCAGAAGAUGAUAAAUAUGAAACAGAGCUGUGCUUUGGGGAAGAGUGUGACAUCCAAGACAUGUUCCCACAGGCAGCAGAUGACAAUGAACAUCUGUCCCUAUGUGAAGAACAUGAACAUGAGGAGGUGACAAGGGGGGCCCUGCUCGGUGGUAGGGACAGUGGUUCAAGCUCAUCCCCUGAACUGAAACCACCGGGGACACGGAGCCCGCUCAGUGUCCUGUUCAGUACUCCAGGCAGCAGCCAGGCUCAGCUCCCCUUGAGCCAGAGGAGCAGCAGGGAGCCCCCGAGGCAGGCUGUGCCGGAGCUGCAGGCACUGGGGCAGCAGCGGCAGCAGCAGCAGGAUGCCCUGGAGCCCUGGAGUGCUGCAGGAAGGGCAGCAGCAGCUCCCCCAGAAAGGGAAGGGAGCUGCGUGGCUGCCCCGCUCAGCCCCCCCAGGCCCUGGCCUGCCCAGCCGGGAGCCCAGGCCCUCCGCGGGCAGCCGGCUGCCUCCAGGAAACGUCCCUCCCGCUUCAGGCGGGCGCUGCGGGCGCUGCGGGGGCUGAUCCGUGUGCCCUGCCUGGGGCCGCGGCCCGAGGAAUGAAGGAGACCAGGGAGAGGAUGAAGAAGUGUUAGAGAAUGAAGAAGAAGAUGACGAUAAAGAGGACAAAUGGAAAUGACAAAGAACAGGAAGAAGACAAUGACUGAAACUAAGAAGAUAAAGAAGACGGACAAGACGUAUUUAAGAAUACAUGGAAGAAUAGUAAUAAGAAUUUAAAAUAUUAUAAAGGAGUAAUAGGAAUAGGAAUAAGAAUUUAAUAAUAUAUUUAAGAAGAAGAGGAGUAAUAAGAUAAAGGAUUUAAAUAUAUAUUGAAGAAGAAGCAGAAGAAUAGGAAUGGGAAUAGGAAGAGGAAGCGGAAUAGGAAUAAGAAUAGGAAGAGGAAGAGGAAUAGGAAUAGGAAUAAGAAUUUAAAAAUAUAUAGAAGAAGUGAAGAAGAAGAGUAGUAAGAAAUAGAAGAGUAGUGAGAAGAAGAACAAUAAAAAGAAUAAUUUAAGAAUACAAAAAUGAAAAGUUAAAGAAUUAGUAAAAUUAGUAAAUAAUAAGUAUUAAAUAUUUACAUUACAGUCUAUGAUAUAAAAACAUGAAUAUACAAAAUGUUGUUAUUAUGAUAUGU
rnacentral:lncRNA from 1 species